rnacentral:rRNA from 1 species
GACGAACGCUGGCGGCGUGCCUAAUACAUGCAAGUUGAGCGCUGAAGGUUGGUACUUGUACCAACUGGAUGAGCAGCGAACGGGUGAGUAACGCGUGGGGAAUCUGCCUUUGAGCGGGGGACAACAUUUGGAAACGAAUGCUAAUACCGCAUAAAAACUUUAAACACAAGUUUUAAGUUUGAAAGAUGCAAUUGCAUCACUCAAAGAUGAUCCCGCGUUGUAUUAGCUAGUUGGUGAGGUAAAGGCUCACCAAGGCGAUGAUACAUAGCCGACCUGAGAGGGUGAUCGGCCAAAUUGGGACUGAGACACGGCCCAAACUCCCACGGGAGGCAGCAGUAGGGAAUCUUCGGCAAUGGACGAAAGUCUGACCGAGCAACGCCGCGUGAGUGAAGAAGGUUUUCGGAUCGUAAAACUCUGUUGGUAGAGAAGAACGUUGGUGAGAGUGGAAAGCUCAUCAAGUGACGGUAACUACCCAGAAAGGGACGGCUAACUACGUG